rnacentral:rRNA from 1 species
GGGUUGUGAGGUUAAGCGACUAAGCGUACACGGUGGAUGCCCUGGCAGUCAGAGGCGAUGAAGGGCGUGCUAAUCUGCGAUAAGCGCCGGUAAGGUGAUAUGAACCGUUAUAACCGGCGAUACCCGAAUGGGGAAACCCAGUGUGACUCGUCACACUAUCAUUAACUGAAUCCAUAGGUUAAUGAGGCGAACCGGGGGAACUGAAACAUCUAAGUACCCCGAGGAAAAGAAAUCAACCGAGAUUCCCCCAGUAGCGGCGAGCGAACGGGGAGGAGCCCAGAGCCUGAAUCAGCAUGUGUGUUAGUGGAAGCGUCUGGAAAGGCGCGCGAUACAGGGUGACAGCCCCGUACACAAAAGCGCAUGUGCUGUGAGCUCGAUGAGUAGGGCGGGACACGUGGUAUCCUGUCUGAAUAUGGGGGGACCAUCCUCCAAGGCUAAAUACUCCUGACUGACCGAUAGUGAACCAGUACCGUGAGGGAAAGGCGAAAAGAACCCCGGCGAGGGGAGUGAAAAAGAACCUGAAACCGUGUACGUACAAGCAGUGGGAGCACAGGUUUACCUGUGUGACUGCGUACCUUUUGUAUAAUGGGUCAGCGACUUAUAUUCUGUAGCAAGGUUAACCGUAUAGGGGAGCCGUAGGGAAACCGAGUCUUAACCGGGCGUUAAGUUGCAGGGUAUAGACCCGAAACCCGGUGAUCUAGCCAUGGGCAGGUUGAAGGUUGGGUAACACUAACUGGAGGACCGAACCGACUAAUGUUGAAAAAUUAGCGGAUGACCUGUGGCUGGGGGUGAAAGGCCAAUCAAACCGGGAGAUAGCUGGUUCUCCCCGAAAGCUAUUUAGGUAGCGCCUCGUGAAUUCAUCUCCGGGGGUAGAGCACUGUUUCGGCUAGGGGGCCAUCCCGGCUUACCAACCCGAUGCAAACUGCGAAUACCGGAGAAUGUUAUCACGGGAGACACACGGCGGGUGCUAACGUCCGUCGUGAAGAGGGAAACAACCCAGACCGCCAGCUAAGGUCCCAAAGUCAUGGUUAAGUGGGAAACGAUGUGGGAAGGCCCAGACAGCCAGGAUGUUGGCUUAGAAGCAGCCAUCAUUUAAAGAAAGCGUAAUAGCUCACUGGUCGAGUCGGCCUGCGCGGAAGAUGUAACGGGGCUAAACCAUGCACCGAAGCUGCGGCAGCGACGCUGAUGCGUUGUUGGGUAGGGGAGCGUUCUGUAAGCCUGUGAAGGUGGCCUGUGAGGGUUGCUGGAGGUAUCAGAAGUGCGAAUGCUGACAUAAGUAACGAUAAAGCGGGUGAAAAGCCCGCUCGCCGGAAGACCAAGGGUUCCUGUCCAACGUUAAUCGGGGCAGGGUGAGUCGACCCCUAAGGCGAGGCCGAAAGGCGUAGUCGAUGGGAAACGGGUUAAUAUUCCCGUAC